CUUGCUGCUUCGCUGACGAGUGGCGGACGGGUGAGUAAUGUCUGGGAAACUGCCUGAUGGAGGGGGAUAACUACUGGAAACGGUAGCUAAUACCGCAUAACGUCGCAAGACCAAAGAGGGGGACCUUCGGGCCUCUUGCCAUCGGAUGUGCCCAGAUGGGAUUAGCUAGUAGGUGGGGUAACGGCUCACCUAGGCGACGAUCCCUAGCUGGUCUGAGAGGAUGACCAGCCACACUGGAACUGAGACACGGUCCAGACUCCUACGGGAGGCAGCAGUGGGGAAUAUUGCACAAUGGGCGCAAGCCUGAUGCAGCCAUGCCGCGUGUAUGAAGAAGGCCUUCGGGUUGUAAAGUACUUUCAGCGGGGAGGAAGGGAGUAAAGUUAAUACCUUUGCUCAUUGACGUUACCCGCAGAAGAAGCACCGGCUAACUCCGUGCCAGCAGCCGCGGUAAUACGGAGGGUGCAAGCGUUAAUCGGAAUUACUGGGCGUAAAGCGCACGCAGGCGGUUUGUUAAGUCAGAUGUGAAAUCCCCGGGCUCAACCUGGGAACUGCAUCUGAUACUGGCAAGCUUGAGUCUCGUAGAGGGGGGGUAGAAUUCCAGGUGUAGCGGUGAAAUGCGUAGAGAUCUGGAGGAAUACCGGUGGCGAA
rnacentral:rRNA from 1 species